UACAGAGGGUGCAAGCGUUGUUCGGAAUUAUUGGGCGUAAAGGGUUCGUAGGCGGUGUGGCAAGUCGGGAGUGAAAUCUCUGGGCUCAACCCAGAGUCUGCUUCCGAAACUGCUGUGCUUGAGUGUGGGAGAGGCGCGUGGAAUUGCAGGUGUAGCGGUGAAAUGCGUAGAUAUCUGCAGGAACACCCGUGGCGAAAGCGGCGCGCUGGACCACUACUGACGCUGAGGAACGAAAGCUAGGGGAGCAAACAGG
rnacentral:rRNA from 1 species